rnacentral:tRNA from 1 species
AAAUAAGAAGUAAAAUUUACAUUUAGUUUCGACCUAAAAUUCUGGUGUUAUUACACCCUUAUUUA